UACGUAGGGGGCAAGCGUUGUCCGGAUUUAUUGGGCGUAAAGCGCGUGUAGGCGGCCAGGUAGGUCCGCUGUGAAAACCCGAGGCUCAACUCUGGACAGGCGGUGGAAACUACCAAGCUGGAGUACGGUAGGGGCAGAGGGAAUUUCCGGUGGAGCGGUGAAAUGCGUAGAUAUCGGAAGGAACGCCGGUGGCGAAAGCGGCGCGCUGGACCUCUUCUGACGCUGAGGCGCGAAAGCUAGGGGAGCAAACGGG
rnacentral:rRNA from 1 species